AUUUCUACACAUCUGCCACAAAUUUAUGGAAAUCAAUAUUUAUAGAAACUGAACAUACCUUGGUUAAACGUAUAUGAAAUGGGUAACCAUCCUCGAAGAACAUCACCCAGCUGUCGGCAAUGUGCAAGUGGACUGAGGAAUUUUCCGGUGUGUCCUUUAUGGACUGUACUCCGUCUUAGCACUAUCCUCAAGUUUUACCCGAGAGGCCAUGCCUCAAGUCGGACUCUCCUCCAUAUAUCUACUGACUUCAUAUAAACGAAAGUGUACUGAGGACUCACUAAUCUGCACUACCAGUAACAAAGUAAUCCGACAAUCAGACUGGACCCGGUCAUGUUAGAAGAUACCAAAAAUAGGGGAUGAACAUACAAUCGAUUCUGCAUCGAUGCAUGACUUCGCCCGGAACGCGGCAAGAAUGAACAAUGGAAGAAAAUACUACAGACUUGUUUAUUAACGAUAAAGUUAUUUUAGUUUUUAUGAAAUAGCGAUUGAAUAA